GACGAACGCUGGCGGCGUGCUUAAUGCAUGCAAGUCGAACGAGGAACCCUCUCUGGGUAACCAAAGAGGAAUUCCUAGUGGCGAACGGGUGAGUAACACGUGAGAAACCUGCCCCGGAGAUCGGGAUAGCCCAGGGAAACCUGGAUUAAUACCGAAUACCCUCGUACGGUCGCAUGGCCGAUCGAGGAAAUGGUCCGCUGCUCCGGGAUGGUCUCGCGUCCUAUCAGCUUGUUGGUGAGGUAAAGGCUCACCAAGGCUAUGACGGGUAGCUGGUCUGAGAGGACGAUCAGCCACACUGGGACUGAGACACGGCCCAGACUCCUACGGGAGGCAGCAGCAGGGAAUUUUGCACAAUGGGCGCAAGCCUGAUGCAGCGACGCCGCGUGGGGGAUGAAUGCCUUCGGGUUGUAAACCCCUUUCAGGAGGGACGAAGCGAAAGUGACGGUACCUCCAGAAGAAGCCCCGGCCAACUACGUG
rnacentral:rRNA from 1 species